rnacentral:rRNA from 1 species
UGGCGGACGGGGGAGUAACGCGUGGGUAACCUGCCUCAUACAGGGGAGUAACAGUUAGAAAUGACUGCUAAUACCGCAUAAGACCACAGCACCGCAUGGUGCAGGGGUAAAAACUCCGGUGGUAUGAGAUGGACCCGCGUCUGAUUAGGUAGUUGGUGGGGUAACGGCUUACCAAGCCGACGAUCAGUAGCCGACCUGAGAGGGUGACCGGCCACAUUGGGACUGAGACACGGCCCAA